rnacentral:siRNA from 1 species
UGGAGGGUGUUGAAUAUGAU